ncrna:Tupaia chinensis (Chinese tree shrew) microRNA tch-mir-628 precursor
AUGCUGACAUAUUUACUAGAGGGUAAAAUUAAUAACCUUCUAGUAAGAGUGGCAGUCGAAG